rnacentral:lncRNA from 1 species
GUUCAAUUCCCAGUAACCACAUGGUGGCUCAUAACCAUCUGUAAUUGGAUCCAGUGUCCUCUCUGGUGUACCAGCUACAGCGUGGUCAUAUACAUUAAAUAAAUAAAUAAAUCUUAAAAAUAUUCAAGACUUCCUCUUUAAGCUAGUAAUUUUAAUAUUUUAAGAUUAUAAAAUGAUAAUAAUUAAAUUUCCCCCUUUGCUCCCUCCUAGUCUUCCCAUAUAUCCCUCCUUGCUCUUAUUGCUGCUAUAAGGGAGAUUUUAUUGUCCACUCCAAACUUACAUAAUAAGUCUUUGUAAUUUCUACUAAUGGUAUUAACCCUUUUAUUUUAUUUUCUGAUCAUUUACAAACUUGCCUUUGGACCUCCUCAAGUGUAGUUAGUGUUGUAUCAAGGAGUAAGCCCCAAUAGUUUUAUAGUGAUUUUUGAUCAUUUUAUUUUUCUUUAUUUUCUUGCAGUUGUUCUUAUUUAGAUGACCAUAUGACUGAGAUCAAUCAUUAUGUUGUAUCAUUUUACUAAAUAUUGAUGGCCUUUCCAGCCUCGUCUCUUUUAUUUGUUCUUACACUCCACACUUUUCUGUGUCAUAGAGUAAGCUGUUUUCUUUCCCUAAAAGUACCUUAUUGCUUGGCACUGAUUAUGCAAAUUACUUCUCAUCCUUCCUGGAGUUGUUAUUUCCCUGAAGCCCCCAUGACAGCUCAGCAGAGUCACUGUACCUUGGGAUUCUAAACACAUGGCCUCAUUUCACUGACUGCACGCAUCAGUUUACAUUUCCCUCUUCCCUUUAUAACUAAACAAACUAAAAGAUUUAAUAGGACUAAAAGAAGACCAGGGAGGGCUCUUAGACCCCUCCAGCGCCUUGAAGCCUUUGUCUGUGUUUGCUCUCCCAGCAUAAGAGAUGUAUAGCUUUACAGUAUGGGAAAGGUCCCUGGACUUUGAUUGUUCACAGAGCUCAUUGUCAUGACUGAGCAAGAGUGACUCCCCUCUGGAAUUAUUUGCAAACAUGUUAAAUAAGCAAUAUACUAGAAAGGGUCUCCGAGGAACAUUUGUUUAGAUGUUUAAACUCUUUUUAAUCACAGAAUUUUCUAUUUGUAAUUGCCUUUAUUCUUCUUCCUAAAUUAAUUAGCCAUUGGUGACCAAUAUAAAUUAAGCAACAAUUGUUAGUAAGUAUUUGUGUUUUUUCUUUUGUGUGUGUUGCAUCUUUUUAACCUUAUUUUGUCUUACUGGUUUGGGGUGUCAGAGCCAAUAUACUGGUUACAUUAAAUAAUGUUAAGUAGAGCCCUUGCCUAAUGGUUAUGCUUUUAAACAUUUUUCAUCUCGUAUUAUAUUGUUCUAGUAAUUCUUGUGUGAAACCCGAGUAGAUGUUUCUCCACCCAUUAAAAAGGUCAGUCAUGUAAUUUGUUCCUAUAGAUUCUAUAGGUCUUUUUCUCUACUUCUUAUAUCUAUUUGACUUCAGUGGUUUAAAGAGAUGUGUGAUUAGUUUCACAUUUUGUUUACAUAUAAAAUUGAGCCAAAAUAACUAAAUGUUACAACCCUUUGUUUUGUUUCUUCAUUAUUUUGCAGGUCAGAAGAAAUUCUCCAUUUACCUGUUAAAAUAUCUAGCAAGCAAAAAAAAAAUACAAACAAACAAACAAAC